rnacentral:ncRNA from 2 species
AUAUACUACUAGGGGUGCUACGAGCUGAGAUUUACCCUUAUAACUUGAUCUAGUUAAUUCUGGCGUAAGGAAGUAGUUUGAAGCCUUA